GAUGAACGCUGGCGGCGUGCCUAAUACAUGCAAGUCGAGCGAACAGACGAGGAGCUUGCUCCUCUGACGUUAGCGGCGGACGGAUGAGUAACACGUGGAUAACCUACCUAUAAGACUGGGAUAACUUCGGGAAACCGGAGCUAAUACCGGAUAAUAUAUUGAACCGCAUGGUUCAAUAGUGAAAGACGGUUUUGCUGUCACUUAUAGAUGGAUCCGCGCCGCAUUAGCUAGUUGGUAAGGUAACGGCUUACCAAGGCAACGAUGCGUAGCCGACCUGAGAGGGUGAUCGGCCACACUGGAACUGAGACACGGUCCAGACUCCUACGGGAGGCAGCAGUAGGGAAUCUUCCGCAAUGGGCGAAAGCCUGACGGAGCAACGCCGCGUGAGUGAUGAAGGUCUUCGGAUCGUAAAACUCUGUUAUUAGGGAAGAACAAAUGUGUAAGUAACUAUGCACGUCUUGACGGUACCUAAUCAGAAAGCCACGGCUAACUACGUG
rnacentral:rRNA from 1 species